rnacentral:rRNA from 1 species
GACGAACGCUGGCGGCGUGCCUAAUACAUGCAAGUAGAACGCUGAAGAGAGGAGCUUGCUCUUCUUGGAUGAGUUGCGAACGGGUGAGUAACGCGUAGGUAACCUGCCUUGUAGCGGGGGAUAACUAUUGGAAACGAUAGCUAAUACCGCAUAACAAUGGAUGACACAUGUCAUUUAUUUGAAAGGGGCAAUUGCUCCACUACAAGAUGGACCUGCGUUGUAUUAGCUAGUAGGUGAGGUAAUGGCUCACCUAGGCGACGAUACAUAGCCGACCAGAGAGGGUGAUCGGCCACACUGGGACUGAGACACGGCCCAGACUCCUACGGGAGGCAGCAGUAGGGAAUCUUCGGCAAUGGGGGCAACCCUGACCGAGCAACGCCGCGUGAGUGAAGAAGGUUUUCGGAUCGUAAAGCUCUGUUGUAAGUCAAGAACGGGUGUGAGAGUGGAAAGUUCACACUGUGACGGUAGCUUACCAGAAAGGGACGGCUAACUACGUG